rnacentral:misc_RNA from 1 species
AGUCUUUAGCUGCAUGUUCAAUAUCAUCAAAGCUGAAGUAACCAUCUAAAUUCAGUGUUUCCAGCCAAGGGAUGUUGGAGAAAUUCUUAUAUGACGGAACACUAGAGUUCAAAAAAGAGGAGUUAGAACAAAGCUCGGAUUUAUCUGCUAUAGAGCACAAGAACAAGACCAUGAAAAAUCCGAGGAAUAUAAUGGCCUUUUGUUUGAUAAAGGAUGAAGGUGGCGACCCCAUUUUUGCUUUGAGAGAUAAAGAGAGAGAGAAAGAAAG